UCCUGGCAGAUUAAAACUGUGUGCUGGACCGGACUCGGGUCCCGAGUUCGAGUCUCGGUCCGGCACACAGUUUUAAUCUGCCAGGAAAUUUCAUUCCAUGGUUCUCCAAAUGU